GGAGAAUUGCUUGAACCUGGGAGAUGGAGGUUGCAGUGAGCUGAGAUCACACCACUGCACUCCAGCCUGGGCGAUAGAG
ensembl:miRNA